GACGAACGCUGGCGGCGUGCUUAACACAUGCAAGUCGAACGGAAAGGCCCCUUUGGGGGUACUCGAGUGGCGAACGGGUGAGUAACACGUGAGUAACCUGCCCUUGACUUCGGGAUAACUUCAGGAAACUGGGGCUAAUACCGGAUAGGAAUCCUUGCUGCAUGGUGGGGGUUGGAAAGCUUCGGCGGUUUUGGAUGGACUCGCGGCUUAUCAGCUUGUUGGUGGGGUAGUGGCUUACCAAGGCUUUGACGGGUAGCCGGCCUGAGAGGGCGACCGGCCACAUUGGGACUGAGAUACGGCCCAGACUCCUACGGGAGGCAGCAGUGGGGAAUAUUGCACAAUGGGCGGAAGCCUGAUGCAGCAACGCCGCGUGCGGGAUGACGGCCUUCGGGUUGUAAACCGCUUUCAGCAGGGGCGAAGCUUGUGGUGACGGUACCUGCAGAAGAAGCAUCGGCUAACUACGU
rnacentral:rRNA from 1 species